UUGAACGCUGGCGGCAUGCCUUACACAUGCAAGUCGAACGGCAGCACGGGGGCAACCCUGGUGGCGAGUGGCGAACGGGUGAGUAAUACAUUGGAACGUACCCUGCAGUGGGGGAUAACGUAGCGAAAGUUACGCUAAUACCGCAUAUUCUAUGAGUAGGAAAGCCGGGGAUCGCAAGACCUUGCGCUUUAGGAGCGGCCGAUGUCGGAUUAGCUAGUUGGUGAGGUAAAGGCUCACCAAGGCGACGAUCCGUAGCGGGUCUGAGAGGAUGAUCCGCCACACUGGGACUGAGACACGGCCCAGACUCCUACGGGAGGCAGCAGUGGGGAAUUUUGGACAAUGGGCGCAAGCCUGAUCCAGCCAUGCCGCGUGAGUGAAGAAGGCCUUCGGGUUGUAAAGCU
rnacentral:rRNA from 1 species